rnacentral:ncRNA from 1 species
GUUUCAGGGCGAGGUGCAAUUCCUCACUGGCGGUAACGGACAGGCGGGGCAACAUAGCCCCAUCCGAAGCCCGCGACCCUGCUUGGCUUGGCGGCCGAAGCAGGCUGACUUGGUGCAAAUCCAAGGCCAACGGUUAAAGUCCGGAUGGAAGAGA